GAUGAACGCUGGCGGCGUGCCUAAUACAUGCAAGUCGAGCGAACGGACGAGAAGCUUGCUUCUCUGAUGUUAGCGGCGGACGGGUGAGUAACACGUGGAUAACCUACCUAUAAGACUGGGAUAACUUCGGAAAACCGGAGCUAAUACCGGAUAAUAUUUUGAACCGCAUGGUUCAAUAGUGAAAGACGGUCUUGCUGUCACUUAUAGAUGGAUCCGCGCUGCAUUAGCUAGUUGGUAAGGUAACGGCUUACCAAGGCAACGAUGCAUAGCCGACCUGAGAGGGUGAUCGGCAACACUGGAACUGAGACACGGUCCAGACGCCUACGGGAGGCAGCAGUAGGGAAUCUUCCGCAAUGGGCGAAAGCCUGACGGAGCAACGCCGCGUGAGUGAUGAAGGUCUUCGGAUCGUAAAACUCUGUUAUUAGGGAAGAACAUAUGUGUAAGUAACUGUGCACAUCUUGACGGUACCUAAUCAGAAAGCCACGGCUAACUACGUG
rnacentral:rRNA from 1 species